GCAUUCCAGCGGCAAAUCAGAAACGCAUACAGAGAUACAGUUGCCGACGUCAAGAUGUCGGAAUCUCCGAAAACAGCAACUCCAUAUGUCGAUCCGAAAGAGAAAAGUUCACUGCCUGCAGAUAUAGAUUUUGGAAAAGACUUUCUUGGAUCAUGGAAGUCGAUGUCCUGAGCAGAUGACGGAAUGGAUUUUGACUUUGGACCAACCACUGAAGGGAAGAAAAAGGCUUUUAAAUUUGACAAAAUGUAAGCGGCAAAAAACCUUAAAGUUGCAUAUUUACUUUGAUAGUAGCUCAGAAAUUAUUACUUUUUGCCAAUCUGGAGAAAUGGCUCAAAUUUUGUAUCUGGAAUGAAGACAUAAGUACUGUUUAUUCAAUAUAAAUCUUAACAUCCUCCGGAAGUUUAGUCACUCCAGAAUAUAUAAUAAUUUCCAAUAA